UACGUAGGGUGCGAGCGUUAAUCGGAAUUACUGGGCGUAAAGCGUGCGCAGGCUGUUUUGUAAGUCAGAUGUGAAAGCCCUGGGCUCAACCUGGGAAUGGCAUUUGAAACUGGCGAGCUAGAGUGUGUUAGAGGAUGGCGGAAUUCCCGGUGUAGCGGUGAAAUGCGUAGAUAUCAGGAGGAACACCGGUGGCGAAGGCGGUUCUCUGGGCAUUAACUGACGCUGAGGAGCGAAAGCAUGGGGAGCGAACAGG
rnacentral:rRNA from 1 species